UUUUUUUUUUUGUGUGUUACAUUUGAGGUACCUUUAUAUAGUAUCAUAUAUACGAAGCUCGUAUACUCUAUGUGUACUAUAUAUAAAAUGCAGGCUCAGUCAAGACAAGAAGGGCUUUGAAUGAAAAGCGCAUUGUAAAAUAUUGCUAAAUUAUGACAAACAACUUGAUUUUGAGUGGCAUAUGAAGCAUAACACAUAAUUUAUUCCUAAACUAAAUCAACAAGACCUUUAAAACCUUUUCCAUUUGAUCGUCACUUUCUCAGGUUAUUCAAGGAAAAUACACAUCGCAUGAAGUGCCACUGAUUCAAUGUAUAAAAUGUAAAAAGCCAAAAGUAAUGUUAGCAGGAAAUCCUCCUACUUCACACACAACAUUUUAUACUGCCAAGCUACUCCGUUUUCUUUUACAUCCACAAGAUUUUAGCAAAAAUUAAUGGCAGGAGACACUGAACAUAUUCUUCACUACAUCUAAAAAUCAUACGCUAGGAGCAAACAACCUUAGGACUGCAGAGAAAACCUGGAAUUACUUUAGAUAGUGUGAAAUAAGAUGCUGUGACAGUUGCACAAAGACAAGAAAAAUACUCUUUCUAGAUCAGGACUGAAGGAAUUGUUUAGCAUUGGCAGACUAGUAGUCUGGAAAGAGGAUAUCUGCAUUCAAGCAAGGAUAGACAAUAGCUUGAGUUUGCAGAGGUCUGUCCCACCAUUAAGCCUCAGCUAGAAUUAAGUUGAAAGCAGAUAAUUCCUAGAAAUUAGCUCUGAAAACAAGCAUUUAUUAAGUGAUUUAAUUUUAAUUACAUAUUAAACAUUACUUUGGCAAGUUAAAAGCAAUAAUAAUAACUCCAAAACUACGUAAUUUCAGUGAAAGAGAGUGAGGAUGCACAUUAGAGCUCUCAUAAAGCUGUUCCACUUUAGCACUUCUAUGACAUUUCUGCUCUUUAGAUUCCUUUCCAGAUUAAUUUCUUAAGUAUUCAGACAGAAGCUGCUGCUCCUAAUUUCUUGCUCAUUUUAUAAGGGAACAACAAGACAGCUAAAAAUACUCCACAGGCUGAAGGGAAGGAUAUUCACAGCAGUCAGUUUUAUACACUCAGCUUGGCUGACUAAGGUGAAAAGCAAUUAUACCUUGAGCUGUUUGUGAAACCAGCUCCUUUGAAGGAGAUUGAGACCAAGACUACUUCAUGCGCCCUCUGGCUGAACAGCACAAGCUGGGGCAACCAGCUUGAAAGCAGAGAAGGCCCAGGGUGUCCUGCUGAUAGCUGACCAUCAUGAAGUUGACCAUCAUGAAGAUGACCAUGAGCUAUCAAAGGGCCAUCAGCUUCCUGGGUUGCAUUAGGCAGAGUGUUGCCAACAGGAUGAAGAAGGUGAUCCUUGCCCUCUGUUCAGCAAUGGUGAGACCCAAUCUGGAGUGUUGGGUACAGCUCUGAGUCCCUCAGAACAAGAGAGACGUGGACAAAAUGGAGUGAAUUCAGUGAAGAUCCAUGAAGAUGAAAAGCAUCUGCCAUAUAAGAAAAGGCUGAGAGUGAUGGGACUGUUCAGCCUGAAGAAGAGAAGGCUCAAAAGAACCUUAUCAAUGUAUACAAAAGCCUUCUUAUUCCUAUUUGAAACGUUUUCUUGCUUCUUGAAAUGUAAGUUAUAUCACUGCUAUGAGUUUCAUAUCAAUAAGUCACUUCUAAAUGAUCCUAAUAGCAUUAUUUAGUGGCAGGACUUUUGAAAGAACUAAGAGAACCUGAUUUACACAUCACCCUCAUGCUUUGGGUCAAAGGCCAUGAGUGUUUUAAUCUGUUCACAUACCACCCCUACAUGUACCUGAUGAAGCAACGUAAUGCAAUUCUAAAUAUAUAUUCACAGAUAGAAAGGGCAGCAAGUUAGAGACAGAUCUCUGUUCUGGGCUUUAUAUAAUAUUGCCC
rnacentral:lncRNA from 1 species